rnacentral:rRNA from 1 species
UACGUAGGGAGCAAGCGUUGUCCGGAAUCAUUGGGUGUAAAGCGCGCGUAGGUGGCCUCAUAAGUCCGCUGUGAAAGUCAAAGGCUCAACCUUUGAAAGCCGGUGGAUACUGUGAGGCUAGAGUACGGAAGAGGCGAGUGGAAUUCCUGGUGUAGCGGUGGAAUGCGCAGAUAUCAGGAGGAACACCAAUAGCGAAGGCAGCUCGCUGGGACGUUACUGACACUGAGGAGCGAAAGUGUGGGGAGCGAACAGG